rfam:Myotis brandtii contig225455, whole genome shotgun sequence.
GCCGGCAUGGCUCAGUGGUUGAGCAUUGACCUGUGAAUUCAAGGGUCCCGGGUUCAAUUCCCGGUCAGGGCU